GCAGCGAACAGACAGGGAGUUUGCUCCCCAACAUGCUGCGGGGAAAGUCCCCGUGCUUUGGGGCAGAAAGUGCC
rnacentral:RNase_MRP_RNA from 1 species